rnacentral:rRNA from 2 species
ACCGAGUGAGGGCCCUCUGGGUCCAACCUCCCACCCGUGUCUAUCGUACCUUGUUGCUUCGGCGGGCCCGCCGUUUCGACGGCCGCCGGGGAGGCCUUGCGCCCCCGGGCCCGCGCCCGCCGAAGACCCCAACAUGAACGCUGUUCUGAAAGUAUGCAGUCUGAGUUGAUUAUCGUAAUCAGUUAAAACUUUCAACAACGGAUCUCUUGGUUCCGGCAUCGAUGAAGAACGCAGCGAAAUGCGAUAAGUAAUGUGAAUUGCAGAAUUCAGUGAAUCAUCGAGUCUUUGAACGCACAUUGCGCCCCCUGGUAUUCCGGGGGGCAUGCCUGUCCGAGCGUCAUUGCUGCCCUCAAGCACGGCUUGUGUGUUGGGCCCCCGUCCCCCUCUCCCGGGGGACGGGCCCGAAAGGCAGCGGCGGCACCGCGUCCGGUCCUCGAGCGUAUGGGGCUUUGUCACCUGCUCUGUAGGCCCGGCCGGCGCCAGCCGACACCCAACUUUAUUUUUCUAAGGUUGACCUCGGAUCAGGUAGGGAUACCCGCUGAACUUAAGCAUA